GAUUAUUAGCCUUGGCGAGUGGCUUGUGAACCCCUUUCCGCGUUUUCGCUAAUUAGUAGUCGUCGAAUGUCCGUUACGUGUAGACGAAAAAACGAAUUCCGGGCGUGUGGAGGAAAAUAUCAGAGACUAUCACCGUUAUAUUCACAUCGAGAUACAUAUUUCGCGGAUUAAGCUGAUCGAUAUUUAAUCGAUAUGUGAAUAUCGCGGAGGCUCAUCGGAUUACGAGUGCCUUGGCGAGUGACGUGUGAACCUUUUCCUGCAUUUUUGCAAGUUAUCGAGUGUCCGCCAUUACGCGUAGAUGAAUUCCGGGAGUGUGGAGGAAAGUAUCGGGCACGAUAUCAUCGUCGCGUCCUUUUCACGUCGAGAAUAAGUAUCUCGCGAUUGUGCGAUCGAUAUUUGAUCGAUACGUGAAUGGCGGUUAGCGGAGACUUCCUUUGGCGUCUCUGUUCGACGAGCGUCGUAAUCGUCGUUGCCGUGCGAAUUCUCUGCGUCCGUUAGUUUUCGAAUGACGAUCGUCUCGUACGAUUACGCGAGUGUAAAUAUGACGAGGACGAAUCACUAUCGCAGUUACGGCACCGUCAGUCAUCGCGAAUGAUAAUCGUGUAGCCGCGAAUCGCGGGAGUGCCGAGAAAAAGUAACGGGCGUGAAAAAGUAUAUCGCGAUUGUAACGUACGUAUUUGAAUCUAAAGUGCCGCGAGUAAUGGCGAAUAACAUGUUACAACGGAUCCUCGCCGCGUAUAGAUGUCGUGUCGGGAGUGCUAAAUAAAAGUCGGACGAUUAUUUCGAUUAAUGCGAGCGUGUAACAGUGAACGAAUGUCGCGAGAGAAAGUACAAUAUAAAUAUAUCGGGAGUGCCGGAAAAAGAGUAUCGCGGCAUACUUGACUAAUAUCACGACUGUGAGUGAUAAUUAAUGAACUAUCCAAUGAACUAAUUCAAUUAAAUAUAUGAUGGAUCGUCAAUAAUCAGUUUCGGACAGAAAGGCCAAUGAAUCGGAUGACGAGAAGGAAACGACAGGACUCACCGAUUGAUAUUUCUGAAAGGGAAGGGAACGGGAAGGCGCCCUGUAAUGUCGUCCUGUGCGGGAGGUACAACUCUAUCGUCCUCGACAACUUUUUAAUGGUGAAACACUCUUCCGCGGAUAAAACUUGGCUAUCUCGUAUGCUGCGAAACCAAUUGACGAUGAGCACUCGAUAGGAAUACGCUCCACCACCUCGUCCGCAAAUGCAGCUGCCUACUCAAACUGUCCUCUCGCCCGCACGUGCGCAACCCGGCUGCAUCCGUAA